CCUACGGGUGGCAGCAGUGGGGAAUAUUGCACAAUGGGGGAAACCCUGAUGCAGCGACGCCGCGUGAGUGAAGAAGUAAUUCGUUAUGUAAAGCUCUAUCAGCAGGGAAGAAAAUGACGGUACCUGAGUAAGAAGCCCCGGCUAACUACGUGCCAGCAGCCGCGGUAAUACGUAGGGGGCAAGCGUUAUCCGGAUUUACUGGGUGUAAAGGGCGUGUAGGCGGGACUGCAAGUCAGAUGUGAAAACCAUGGGCUCAACCCAUGGCCUGCAUUUGAAACUGUAGUUCUUGAGUGUUGGAGAGGCAGGCGGAAUUCCGUGUGUAGCGGUGAAAUGCGUAGAUAUACGGAGGAACACCAGUGGCGAAGGCGGCCUGCUGGACAAUAACUGACGCUGAGGCGCGAAAGCGUGGGGAGCAAACAGGAUUAGAUACCCCUGUAGUC
rnacentral:rRNA from 1 species